AGGGGAAGACCAUAGCUCAGUGCUAGAGCAUUUGCUUCGCGUGCUGACGGCGCCAGGUUCAAUCCUUGGCCUCUA